rfam:Cyphomyrmex costatus contig24290, whole genome shotgun sequence.
GCCUCGGUAAUCUAAUUGGUUAGGACACUUGCGCGUAAAGCAAGCGAUCCGGGUUCAACUCCUGGCCGAAGGA